rnacentral:rRNA from 1 species
AAUCUUGCACAAUGGGCGAAAGCCUGAUGGAGCAACCCCGCGUGAGUGAAGAAGGCUUUCGGAUCGUAAAACUCUGUUGUAAGGGAAGAACAAGUACAUCAGUAACUGGCUGUAUCUUGACGGUACCUGAUUAGAAAGCCACGGCUAACUACGUGCCAGCAGCCGCGGUAAUACGUAGGGGGCAAGCGUUGUCCGGAAUUAUUGGGCGUAAAGCGCGUGUAGGCGGUCCUUAAAGUAGGAUGUGAAAGCCCACGGCUCAACCGUGGAAGGUCAUUGGAAACUGGGGGACUAGAGUGCAGAAGAGGAAAGUGGAAUUCCAAGUGUAGCAGUGAAAUGCGUAGAGAUUUGGAGGAACACCAGUGGCGAAGGCGACUUUCUGGUAUGUAACUGACGCUGAGGCGCGAAAGCGUGGGGAGCAAACA